AACAAACGCUGGCGGCGUGCCUAAUACAUGCAAGUCGAACGGGGAAAGCUUUCGGGUGAGUACAAGUGGCGCACGGGUGAGUAACGCGUGGAUAAUCUGCCUUAGAGUGGGGGAUAACUAGUCGAAAGAUUAGCUAAUACCGCAUAAGACCACAAGAACUGCGGUUCAAGAGGUCAAAGGUUUUUCGCUCUAAGAUGAGUCCGCGUAAGAUUAGCUAGUUGGUGAGGUAACGGCUCACCAAGGCAACGAUCUUUAACUGGUCUGAGAGGAUGAUCAGUCACACUGGAACUGAGACACGGUCCAGACUCCUACGGGAGGCAGCAGUAGGGAAUAUUGCACAAUGGAGGAAACUCUGAUGCAGCGACGCCGCGUGAGUGAUGAAGGCCUUCGGGUCGUAAAGCUCUGUCGCAGGGGAAUAACACAAUGAAUGUACCCUGUAAGAAAAGAUCGGCUAACUUCGUGCCAGCCGCCGCGGUAAUAC
rnacentral:rRNA from 1 species